CCUACGGGUGGCAGCAGUGAGGAAUAUUGGUCAAUGGGCGAGAGCCUGAACCAGCCAAGUCGCGUGAGGGAAGACGGCCCUAUGGAUUGUAAACCUCUUUUGUCGGGGAGUAAAAAGCGGUACGUGUACCGCAUCGAGAGUACCCGGAGAAUAAGCAUCGGCUAACUCCGUGCCAGCAGCCGCGGUAAUACGGAAGGUCCGGGCGUUAUCCGGAUUUAUUGGGUUUAAAGGGAGCGUAGGCGGAAUGUUAAGUGAGUUGUGAAAGGUUCGGGCUCAACCGGGACCUUGCAGUUGAAACUGGCGUGCUUGAGUCCGCGGAAGGCAGGAGGAAUUCGUGGUGUAGCGGGGAAAUGCUUAGAUAUGACGAAGAACCCCGAUUGCGAAGGCAGCUUGCUGCAGCGGAACUGACGCUGAGGCUCGAAAGCGCGGGUAUCGAACAGGAUUAGAUACCCCGGUAGUC
rnacentral:rRNA from 1 species